rnacentral:rRNA from 1 species
AGUGGCGGACGGGUGAGUAACGCGUGAGAAUCUGCCUUGGGGUCGGGGACAACCACUGGAAACGGUGGCUAAUACCGGAUAAGCCGAUUGGUGAAAGAUUUAUUGCCCGAAGAGGAGCUCGCGUCUGAUUAGCUAGUUGGUGAGGUAAGAGCUCACCAAGGCAGCGAUCAGUAGCUGGUCUGAGAGGACGAUCAGCCACACUGGGACUGAGACACGGCCCAGACUCCUACGGGAGGCAGCAGUGGGGAAUUUUCCGCAAUGGGCGAAAGCCUGACGGAGCAAGACCGCGUGAGGGAGGAAGGCUCUUGGGUUGUAAACCUCUUUUCUCAGGGAAGAAGCUCUGACGGUACCUGAGGAAUCAGCCUCGGCUAACUCCGUGCCAGCAGCCGCGGUAAUACGGAGGAGGCAAGCGUUAUCCGGAAUUAUUGGGCGUAAAGCGUCCGCAGGUGGCGAUUCAAGUCUGCUGUCAAAGCACGGGGCUUAACUCCGUAAAGGCAGUGGAAACUGAAUAGCUAGAGUGCCGUAGGGGUAGAGGGAAUUCCCGGUGUAGCGGUGAAAUGCGUAGAGAUCGGGAAGAACAUCGGUGGCGAAAGCGCUCUACUGGGCGGCAACUGACACUCAGGGACGAAAGCUAGGGGAGCGAAUGGGAUUAGAUACCCC